rnacentral:rRNA from 1 species
UGGUGGAGUGAUUUGUCUGGUUUAUUCCGAUAACGAACGAGACUCUGGCCUACUAACUAGUACUCAGAUUCUAUGUUUGAUUGUACUCCUUAGAGGGACAAGCAGUGCUCAGCUGCACGAGAAAGAGCAAUAACA